ACUUCCUUCGGCGAUAUAUACGCUAAAAUGGGAAACGUGAAGAGUAAUUUUUGCAUGGACCCUGCGCAAGGAUGACACGCAAAAUAAAUAAAAAAGUGGGUAGUGUUU